CUCGAGGGCCGUCAAGUACCAGAUUAACAGUUGUUCCUUCCACAGGAGGCAUCGGAAUUAGAGGUUCCUGCAACUUAUUCUUUUAUCUUUCAAAUGCCCCUUGGCAAUCAUUAUUCUACCUGACCGUUUGAUCUCUCUUUUUUCCAACAGCUUGAGUGGGUUCACACGUGGCUAUUAGAUGAGAUAUGAACCGUGAAAUGCAAUUCAAUCUAUCUAAAAAACCACGAACCUUCUUUUGUUUUCGGUUCAGGCAUUUCUCGUAUUGCUUUUUCUUCUUUAUAUCUAUUUUUUUUUCUUUUUUUUUUUAGCAGGAUCGACCUCGAUUCCUCUUAUCCGCUCACAAUAAACCUCAGCAGUUUACCGGACAGCACUCCACAAGUGCACUAAUUCGGACUCAACCUCAGUCUGAGUUGUCUCGAUCCGGUCAAACAACUUGCCCCGGUCUACCGGAUUCCCUUCUUCUGCUUGGGACUUUGCUAUCAUGUCAUCAACAUAGCAUUUGAUUCCACGAUGAAUCAUAUCAUGAAACA
rnacentral:lncRNA from 1 species